UGGCUGUCUGCAACAAGUAAGACUGAUUGC
rnacentral:piRNA from 1 species